rnacentral:rRNA from 1 species
GACGAACGCUGGCGGCGUGCCUAACACAUGCAAGUCGAGCGGAGAAAUUAAAGCUUGCUUUAAUUUCUUAGCGGCGGACGGGUGAGUAACACGUGGGCAACCUGCCCUUGAGAGGGGGAUAACACAGAGAAAUUUGUGCUAAUACCGCAUAACAUUUAGACUUCGCCUGGAGUUUAAAUCAAAGGAGUAAUCCGCUCAAGGAUGGGCCCGCGGCGCAUUAGCUAGUUGGUGAGGUAAUGGCUCACCAAGGCGACGAUGCGUAGCCGACCUGAGAGGGUGAUCGGCCACAUUGGAACUGAGACACGGUCCAGACUCCUACGGGAGGCAGCAGUGGGGAAUAUUGCGCAAUGGGGGAAACCCUGACGCAGCAACGCCGCGUGAGCGAUGAAGGCCUUCGGGUUGUAAAGCUCUUUCAGCACCGACGAAGCGCAAGUGACGGUAGGUGCAGAAGAAGGACCGGCCAACUACGUGCCAGCCGCCGCGGUAAGAC